UAGUAGUCGAGUUACUCUUACACUACUGCACAAUCUCAUCAUUCUUAACCCCUACCACUCUCUCUUUUGUUGUGGUAUGAGUUUUCGUCGAUGACAGUCUAAAAUUGUUAAAUAAUAGAAAAAGAUGAAGAGGGUGAAUGGAAAGGGAACAAAGGAAGAAAAGGAAGAGGGUGAAAUCAUCUACGGCAACUUGAAAUUGAGAAAAGAGAAAAAAAAAAACGGUGAAGGUGAAAGGAAAAGAAAAAAAGAAUUUUCUUUCAACUGGAGCUUCAAAAUGGGCAAGGCUUCGAUGGACAAGAGGGAUAUGUAUUAUCGAAAAGCAGAAGAAGAAAGUUGGAGAGCUAGAAAUGCCUUCCCCCUUCAGAUAGAUGAAGAAUUCAAUAAUUUUGAAGGUAAGAUUCAUAACAGAUCUUCUCUAUGCUCUAAUUACUUCUAAUUAUUUUUAUUGGGCUAAAGUUCACCCAUGACGAGUUAACCUGACUUGAUUGCAUUAACUGUCAAUGAAUAUUUGGAGGGCAGUUGUGGGUGCGCGCACACACACACACAUAUAUAAUGUCUAAAACUGUAUUCCCUCUUGACUAAUUAUGCCAAGAAUGCAGAACUCAGAAGUACAGAAGUGAUUUUCGUUUUUCCUCCUAAAUGGCAAACUCUUCUUCUCUCAUGGAAUCCAUGCAAAGUACGCAACAAAUUGUGUUGAGGAAAAUAAAUAACUACGCUUUAGACGCUGUGGAUCAAUCAAACAAUAGAUUCGUCAAAUUUCGGUUACACAAUUUAUUGUGUUUGAUUUACAACAUUGGCAUGUUUUUUACAACAGUUUUUAUAUCAAAAUGGACUAGAUUAUGUUCGCUUCUUAUUUGUAGGUUUUGAAUCGUAAAUUGUAUCUCCCAGCAAAGUUGUAGGCUCAUUCAGGGUAAUUCUCAUCUUGUGAAUAUUUCUUUCCAGCUUUGGAAGUAAGUUUCAUAUUUGACACUGAUCUUUUUCGCUUCUUUGCCUAUUAAAAAAUGAGGUUGAAUAAUUGCACGUUAUGAAUGCAAUGAAAUCAGUUUUGGUUCUAUGAAAUAACAUGUCUUGGACUAAUUUGCUAUCUCUUGUGUUUGUGUUAAUUUCUGAAUAAAUUUUGAGUUGGAGGCAUUCAGAAAUGCUUUUCAAAGAUAUACUUGAUUCUUGUUCCUAUCCCCCAUUUUGAUAAUUUUUUGAAGCAUCUUUAGAUAGAUCCUCAUUAGUCAUGUAAAAGUCCAGCAUGUGAUAUUUGCAUUUAACAACUCCUUAUCUGAGAACACUCACUAAUGAAAUAUACAAAAGCUUUCUGGAAAAUCUCUACUAUAAGCAUUUGAUAUGAAAGUUUCAUAUAUCUACCACACUCUUAAUUGCAUGAAUAAUUUAACAUCCUUGGUUCAAUAACUUGGCAUAUUGUCAAAAGGAGUUCACAGGUUAUUUAACUAAUCUUAUUUUAAAAUCAUUAAGUGAUAUAAAAUGCACAUAUAAACUCAAUGACUCUGAUACCAAAUGAUACAAACCUUAAGAGAACCACACCUCAAAAGCUAGUUAUUGAGAUUUGAGAGCUCACGACUAUAUAAACCCCAUAUUAGUUGCCCAUGCUUUCCAAUGUGAGAUCCAAGUCUCAUACCUUACACUUGGGAUCCUAAUACAAGACUGACUUGGCUGUGUGUGAUGGUGCUCCUGAUGGUAAAAAUGGCUUUAUGUUUUUGCAGCUACCGUUUUUUAAGGACCAACACCUUACUGCUUUCAGAUCUAUGACAUACUUGCUGUAUUCGAUUGUAUUUUGCAGUAACUGGCCGUCAUGACAUGGAUGAAUUUGUUCGAUCCCAACUCAUACUAGCUGUAAGCCUUUGAAAUUACUUUUUCCUGUUGUGACCUUACCAAAAAGCAGUCGCAAUUCCAGCGUAGAGGCAUUUGCAGUUGGUGAAAUUUAUUCCCCUCCCGAAGGAUUUAAUCCGAAAGACCUCUGCUGUCUUUUGGAAAAGGUUAGAAGCCCCUGGGGAGAAGAUGAUCAUGGUAAGGGUAUGAAUAACAUUGUUUUAUGUUGCGGUUAAUGGGUAGCUUGACUAGUAAAGGCUGUGAAAUCCCAAGUCAAAGAGAGGGCAUUCAUUCGAGACCCAGUGUGAUUGGUCAGGCCUCAGUGUGGGCAACAUUUCCAAGCUUUUAUAAUUUCCAUUUGAGAAUAAGACCCAAAUGCUUGACGCCUUUAGGGGUAAAAUUUCUUUCCCCGUCUUUGUUUCUGUGCAAUACAACAACAGUUGGUAUCCACUGCCGAAAGUUGCAGAAGGAACUUACUACAGCUUGGAUCCUGUACAACCCAAUUACCCCUGCUUAUGAGAGAGCUCUUGGAAUGAAAAAAAUACCUUCCAGUCAAGGUAUCCAAGGGCUUGAAAAGCUUUCCUUGGAUUCUUGAUAAUGACUUUUCCUGUUGCUUUUUCAUUUAUGGGCUAGAAAAUUUUGAGACAAUUAGUUUUGUGAAAAAUCAAGUUAUCAGUGGACACACCAAAAUUGUUCUGAUUGAAAUUAUAUACCUUUACUGUUGUAUAAAAAUAA